ACCUGGCUGGCUCAGUUGGUGGAGGGUGGGGCUCUUGAUCUCAGGGUUGUGGGUUUGAGCCCCAUGUUGGAUG
rnacentral:tRNA from 1 species